rnacentral:rRNA from 1 species
CGAACGGGUGAGUAAUACAUAAGUAACCUGGCCUUUACAGGGGGAUAACUGUUGGAAACGGCUGCUAAUACCGCAUAAGCCCACGGCUCGGCAUCGAGCAGAGGGAAAAGGAGCAAUCCGCUUUGAGAUGGCCUCGCGUCCGAUUAGCUAGUUGGUGAGGUAAUGGCCCACCAAGGCAACGAUCGGUAGCCGGACUGAGAGGUUGAACGGCCACAUUGGGACUGAGACACGGCCCAG